GACGAACGCUGGCGGCGUUGCUUAACACAUGCAAGUCGAACGGAAAGGCCCUGCUUUUGUGGGGUGCUCGAGUGGCGAACGGGUGAGUAACACGUGAGUAACCUGCCCUUGACUUUGGGAUAACUUCGGGAAACUGGGGCUAAUACCGGAUAGGAGCUCCUGCUGCAUGGUGGGGGUUGGAAAGUUUCGGCGGUUGGGGAUGGACUCGCGGCUUAUCAGCUUGUUGGUGGGGUAGUGGCUUACCAAGGCUUUGACGGGUAGCCGGCCUGAGAGGGUGACCGGCCACAUUGGGACUGAGAUACGGCCCAGACUCCUACGGGAGGCAGCAGUGGGGAAUAUUGCACAAUGGGCGGAAGCCUGAUGCAGCAACGCCGCGUGCGGGAUGACGGCCUUCGGGUUGUAAACCGCUUUCGCCUGUGACGAAGCGUGAGUGACGGUAAUGGGUAAAGAAGCACCGGCUAACUACGUGCCAGCAGCCGCGGUGAUACGUAGGGUGCGAGCGUUGUCCGGAUUUAUUGGGCGUAAAGGGCUCGUAGGUGGUUGAUCGCGUCGGAAGUGUAAUCUUGGGGCUUAACCCUGAGCGUGCUUUCGAUACGGGUUGACUUGAGGAAGGUAGGGGAGAAUGGAAUUCCUGGUGGAGCGGUGGAAUGCGCAGAUAUCAGGAGGAACACCAGUGGCGAAGGCGGUUCUCUGGGCCUUUCCUGACGCUGAGGAGUGAAAGCGUGGGGAGCGAACAGGCUUAGAUACCCUGGUAGUCCACGCUGUAAACGGUGGGUACUAGGUGUGGGGUCCAUUCCACGGGUUCCGUGCCGUAGCUAACGCUUUAAGUACCCCGCCUGGGGAGUACGGCCGCAAGGCUAAAACUCAAAGGAAUUGACGGGGCCCCGCACAAGCGGCGGAGCAUGCGGAUUAAUUCGAUGCAACGCGUAGAACCUUACCUGGGUUUGACAUGGAUCGGGAGUGCUCAGAGAUGGGUGUGCCUCUUUUGGGGUCGGUUCACAGGUGGUGCAUGGCUGUCGUCAGCUCGUGUCGUGAGAUGUUGGGUUAAGUCCCGCAACGAGCGCAACCCUUGUUCACUGUUGCCAGCACGUUAUGGUGGGGACUCAGUGGAGACCGCCGGGGUCAACUCGGAGGAAGGUGGGGAUGACGUCAAGUCAUCAUGCCCCUUAUGUCCAGGGCUUCACGCAUGCUACAAUGGCUGGUACAGAGAGUGGCGAGCCUGUGAGGGUGAGCGAAUCUCGGAAAGCCGGUCUCAGUUCGGAUUGGGGUCUGCAACUCGACCUCAUGAAGUCGGAGUCGCUAGUAAUCGCAGAUCAGCAACGCUGCGGUGAAUACGUUCCCGGGGC
rnacentral:rRNA from 1 species